AAAGUGCGAUAAGUGGUAUCAAUUGCAGAAUCACCCAAUUACCGAAUCUUUGAACGCAAAAGGCGCCCGAGAGAAGCUGUUCACCAGUGAACCUCGUGCAUGCCGCAAAUCUCAGUGUCGAACAAAAAACAAGAACAACAAAGAAGAGUCUUGGAUUUUUCUCUCUUUCUCUCUCUCUUUCUUUCUUUCUUUCUGUUCUUGAACAGAAGAAAAAAAGAAGAAGAGCGCCAGAGAGAAAGCCAAGUGGUUGCUCGAAUUUUUUCGAAAAUUACAAUGGGCAACAACCAAAAACAAACCAAAAAUUAGAGAAAGAAGAAUUAUCUUUUUAAAUCUUCUCUUUUCUGACAAAAAACAAACUUCCGUUCACAGACCUGAGUGCGGCAGGACUACCCGCCGAACU
rnacentral:misc_RNA from 1 species